CUGCGCCAACAUGGCGUCGUCACUCGAAGCUUGCACCCGGCCGUUAGUUAUUCAAUAUCCUCUCAAGUGUAAACACUUGUGGACUUUGGUCCGCUCCGCUCCGCCGUCACAAGUCUCUUGAUUAUGGGAUAUUUUACGUGACUGCUGAAGGAAUUGACUAUUGAUGCAGUUCAGCCUUGACUGCACCCAGUCAACAGCAGCUGCAGGGCCUGGGCACAAAUACCUCGUUAUCGUUGGUGGCGUAGUUCUGAUUAUCCGAGUAGGAGAAGCCAACUCCGGCCGGGGACUCCAGUGUCCCACUGCUGCUACUCACCAAGGUACUGAAACAUGGUGGCUUCAGCCAAUGGUUCAGUGGCUAUCAUUGUCACAUCCAAGCCAGGAGCUUUUUGGUUCAAAUCUCACUCCAGAAACUCCAAAUAUUGAGGAUGAGAAAACAAUAUAUAAAAAACAUGAAUAGUUUGGGGAUGCGAGCAGUACUAGUCCUCAAGUCCCAUCAUUCAUCAAGCUCCUAGAUAUCCCUCCCAACCUCACUACAAAAAUACCAGCCCAGACUUCAGCAACUUGCAGAGUAAAUGAAUUUUGAACUGAAGAGGGUGAGGGU